GGGGAUUUAGCUCAGCGGCACAAGCACCUGCCUUAUAAGCGGGUGGUCGUGAGUUCAAUCCCUG
rnacentral:tRNA from 1 species